AUGGCCUCGGGAGCAGCAGUGGGGAAUAUUGCGCAAUGGGCGAAAGCCUGACGCAGCGACGCCGCGUGAGGGAUGAAGGUCUUCGGAUCGUAAACCUCUGUCAGCAGGGAAGAACGGUCACUGUGCUAAUCAGUAGUGAAUUGACGGUACCUGCAAAGGAAGCACCGGCUAACUCCGUGCCAGCAGCCGCGGUAAUACGGAGGGUGCGAGCGUUAAUCGGAAUUACUGGGCGUAAAGCGCUCGUAGGCGGUAUGUCAAGUCAAGGGAGAAAUCCCCGCGCUCAACGGGGGAACGGCCUUUGAAAC
rnacentral:rRNA from 1 species